rnacentral:rRNA from 1 species
AACAGGAUUAGAUACCCUGGUAGUCCAUGCCGUAAACGUUGGGCGCUAGGUGUGGGGCUCAUUCCACGAGUUCUGUGCCGCAGCAAACGCAUUAAGCGCCCCGCCUGGGGAGUACGGCCGCAAGGCUAAAACUCAAAGGAAUUGACGGGGGCCCGCACAAGCGGCGGAGCAUGCGGAUUAAUUCGAUGCAACGCGAAGAACCUUACCAAGGCUUGACAUACAGGGUAAUCCGGCAGAAACGUCGGGUCCGCAAGGGAUCCUGUACAGGUGGUGCAUGGUUGUCGUCAGCUCGUGUCGUGAGAUGUUGGGUUAAGUCCCGCAACGAGCGCAACCCUCGUUCUAUGUUGCCAGCGCGUAAUGGCGGGGACUCAUAGGAGACUGCCGGGGUCAACUCGGAGGAAGGUGGGGAUGAGGUCAAAUCAUCAUGCCCCUUAUGUCUUGGGCUUCACGCAUGCUACAAUGGCCGGUACAAAGGGCUGCGAAACCGCAAGGUGGAGCGAAUCCCAAAAAACCGGUCUCAGUUCGGAUUGGGGUCUGCAACUCGACCCCAUGAAGUCGGAGUCGCUAGUAAUCGCAGAUCAGCAACGCUGCGGUGAAUACGUUCCCGGGCCUUGUACACACCGCCCGUCAAGUCACGAAAGUCGGUAACACCCGAAGCCGGUGGCCCAACCCUUGUGGAGGGAGCCGUCGAAGGUGGGAUUGGCGAUUGGGACUAAGUCGUAACAAGGUAGCC